GCCAGUUUUGCUCAGGGGUUAGAGCAUUGGUCCUGGGACCAAAGGAUCAUGGGUUCAAUUCCCAGUCAAGGGCA
rfam:Myotis davidii contig61516, whole genome shotgun sequence.